GCUCAGCGGAGGCACCUGUUGAUUCUAACCCAUCUACAGUAGAUUAUCAAAGGGUUUUGAGUAACACAGUUUUAUGUCCUAAUCUGUAGGGAAGAAGAAGUCAAAAUGAUCAGCCUCCUUUUUUUCUGUUGCUUUGCAGGAGGCUGUCUGGGUAUAGAGAUCCAUCAGGAUCCCUCUGCUCUCAUCCGGAGCCCUGGAGACAAAGUGCAUCUUGUCUGCACCCAUGAACAAACUGAAUACAGAGUGAUGCUCUGGUACCAGCAGCCACCUGGACAGACAGAUAUGAAGCUUAUUGGAUAUGUGAACUAUAACGAUGUCAGUGUGGAAGAGCCAUAUAAGCAGCAGUUCACCAUCAGUGGAGAUCUGAGUAGGAGCGAUGCAAAAAAUGUCUCUCUGAUAUUCCAGCUGGCUGCUGAGGACAGUGCAGUGUACUACUGUGCAGCUCGCUAUGCACGUUGAUACAAAGUCUCUCCGAAGUUUACAAAAACUACACUCACUUUCAGCAUUGGUGGUUUUGUACA